rnacentral:rRNA from 1 species
GUGGGGAAUAUUGCGCAAUGGGGGAAACCCUGACACAGCGACGCCGCGUGAGCGAAGAAGGCCUUAGGGUUGUAAAGCUCUGUUUUAAGGGACGAAUGUCGUGGGGAGUAAUAUGCUCUGCGAAUGACGGUACCUUAAGAGGAAGCCCCGGCUAACUACGUGCCAGCAGCCGCGGUAAGACGUAGGGGGCGAGCGUUGUCCGGAAUUACUGGGCGUAAAGAGCACGUAGGCGGGAACUUAAGUCAGGUGUGAAAGACCGGGGCUCAACUCCGGGGUUGCACUUGAAACUGGGUUUCUUGAGGGCAGGAGAGGAAAGCAGAAUUCCUGGUGUAGCGGUGAAAUGCGUAGAAAUCAGGAGGAAUACCAGUGGCGAAGGCGGCUUUCUGGACUGACCCUGACGCUGAGGUGCGAAAGCGUGGGUAGCAAACAGGAUUAGAAACCCCAGUAGUCC